UAUAAUGUGGCAUAUUUAGGUUAGGUGCACUUCUCUUUAUUUUCUUCCUUUCUUUCCCUUUUACUUUCCCUUAUGAUACGUUGGUUCUGAGUGGGUGGAAUGUUUUUUUCUUUCAACAAGGAAGGUUAAGUAAGGUACAAUUUGACAUGAGGGAAAUGAAAGGUAGGGAAGUAAUGUGUUUGUUUCAGGCUGAUAUGUUGGUUCUUAUUCCUUAUUUUGUUCUUAUUUGGUUAGGCUCACUAAGGUCAUAACAUAGAGAAGGGAGGCCUAAGUAAACAAAGGUAGUGUGUCUGUAUCAACCCAUAAACUCACUGGUAAAGGAAGGGGAGAGCAGGAAUGGGUUUGUUUGGACUAGUGUUGGUUUAGGUUAAAUAAGGUGUAGUUUGUCUUGGGAGGGAAGGGAAUUAAAGGGAUUGUUUGGAAUGAAUUGUUCCUCAUUUGGUCAGGUCAGGCAAGGUGUAGUUUGUCUUGGGAGGGAAGGGAAGUAAUGGGGUUGUUUGGAAUGAAUUGUUGUUCCUCAUUUGGUCAGGUCAGGCAAGGUGUAGUUUGUCUUGGGAGGGAAGAGAAGUAAUGGGAUUGUUUGGACUGAAUUGUUCCUCAUUUGGUCAGGUCAGGCAAGGUGUAGUUUGUCUUGGGAGGGAAGAGAAGUAAUGGGAUUGUUUGGACUGAAUUGUUCCUCAUUUGGUCAGGUCAGGCAAGGUGUAGUUUGUCUUGGGAGGGAAGGGAAGUAAUGGGAUUGUUUGGACUGAAUUGUUGUUCCUCAUUUGGUCAGGUCAGGCAAGGUGUAGUUUGUCUUGGGAGGGAAGGGAAGUAAUGGGAUUGUUUGGACUGAAUUGUUGUUCCUCAUUUGGUCAGGUCAGGCAAGGUGUAGUUUGUCUUGGGAGGGAAGCGAAGUAAUGGGAUUGUUUGGGCUGAAUUGUUCCUCAUUUGGUCAGGUCAGGCAAGGUGUAGUUUGUCUUGGGAGGGAAGGGAAGUAAUGGGGUUGUUUGGACUGAAUUGUUCCUCAUUUGGUCAGGUCAGGCAAGGUGUAGUUUGUCUUGGGAGGGAAGGGAAGUAAUGGGAUUGUUUGGACUGAAUUGUUCCUCAUUUGGUCAGGUCAGGCAAGGUGUAGUUUGUCUUGGGAGGGAAGGGAAGUAAUGGGAUUGUUUGGGCUGAAUUGUUCCUCAUUUGGUCAGGUCAGGCAAGGUGUAGUUUGUCUUGGGAGGGAAGGGAAGUAAUGGGAUUGUUUGGACUGAAAUGUUCCUCAUUUGGUCAGGUCAGGCAAGGUGUAGUUUGUCUUGGGAGGGAAGGGAAUUAAUGGGAUUGUUUGGACUGAAUUGUUUCUCAUUUGGUCAGGUCAGGCAAGGUGUAGUUUGUCUUGGGAAGGAAGGGAAGUAAUGGGUUUAUUAAAAGUGUUGGUUCUUAUUUGGCUUGGCAAGAUUGACCUCUCUUUUGGCUAUUCUUUACUAUUGUCUGUUAUGGGAGUGGUGAGUUGCGGGCUUUUAUUUUGAUUUUUUUCACUCUUUUUGUUGCCUUCGAGCCGUCUCCUUUGUUGUAAAAAAAAAAAAAAAAAAAAAAAAGAUAUACGGUAAUUUAACAAGAGAGAUGGGAAACAAAAAAAGGCAAAGGUAAUGUGUCUAUGGUAGUGUCUAUAUAAACCCAAACUCACUCACCCAU